GAUGAACGCUGGCGGCGUGCCUAAUACAUGCAAGUCGAGCGAACAGACGAGGAGCUUGCUCCUCUGACGUUAGCGGCGGACGGGUGAGUAACACGUGGAUAACCUACCUAUAAGACUGGGAUAACUUCGGGAAACCGGAGCUAAUACCGGAUAACAUGCUGAACCGCAUGGUUCAACAGUGAAAGACGGUUUUGCUGUCACUUAUAGAUGGAUCCGGGCCGUAUGAGAUAGUUGGGAAGGUAACGGCUUACCAAGGCAACGAUGCGUAAGCGACCUGAGAGGGUGGUAGGCCACAUGGGAGCUGAGACACGGACCAUACUCCUACGGGAGGCAGCAGUAGGGAAUCUGCCGCAAUGGGCGAAAGCCUGACGGAGCAACGCCGCGUGAGUGAAGAAGAUCUUCGGAUCGUAAAACUCUGUUAUUAGGGAAGAACAAAUGUGUAAGUAACUAUGCACGUCUUGACGGUACCUGGUCAGAAAGCCACGGCUAACUACGUG
rnacentral:rRNA from 1 species